AGGGUUUGAUCAUGGCUCAGGACGAACGCUGGCGGCAUGCCUAACACAUGCAAGUCGAACGAGAAAGUUCCUUCGGGAGCAAUUAAAGUGGCGCACGGGUGAGUAACGCGUAGACAAUCUGCCCUUCAGUCUGGGACAACUUUUCGAAAGGAGAGCUAAUACCGGAUAACAAUGCAUGACACAAGUUGUAUAUUUGAAAGCUUUAUGUGCUGAAGGAGGG
rnacentral:rRNA from 1 species